rnacentral:rRNA from 1 species
AGAUCCGCCUUCGCCACCGGUGUUCCUCCUGAUAUSUGCGCAUUUCACCGCUACACCAGGAAUUCCGAUCUCCCCUACCACACUCUAGCUAGCCCGUAUCGAAUGCAGACCCGAGGUUAAGCCUCGGGCUUUCACAUCCGACGUGACAAGCCGCCUACGAGCUCUUUACGCCCAAUAAUUCCGGACAACGCUUGCGCCCUACGUAUUACCGCGGCUGCUGGCACGUAGUUAGCCGGCGCUUCUUCUGCAGGUACCGUCACUUUCGCUUCUUCCCUGCUGAAAGAGGUUUACAACCCGAAGGCCGUCAUCCCUCACGCGGCGUCGCUGCAUCAGGCUUUCGCCCAUUGUGCAAUAUUCCCCACUGCUGCCUCCCGUAGGAGUCUGGGCCGUGUCUCAGUCCCAGUGUGGCCGGUCGCCCUCUCAGGCCGGCUACCCGUCGUCGCCUUGGUGGGCCAUUACCCCACCAACAAGCUGAUAGGCCGCGGGCUCAUCC